AAGCUUUUGGGCCCAUACCCCAAACAUGUUGGUUAAACCCCCUCCUUUACUA
rnacentral:tRNA from 3 species